rnacentral:rRNA from 1 species
AUUGAACGCUGGCGGCAUGCUUUACACAUGCCAGUCGAACGGCAGCGCGGGCUUCGGCCUGGCGGCGAGUGGCGAACGGGUGAGUAAUGCAUCGGAACGUGCCCAGUAGUGGGGGAUAGCCCGGCGAAAGCCGGAUUAAUACCGCAUACGACCUGAGGGUGAAAGCGGGGGACCGAAAGGCCUCGCGCUAUUGGGGCGGCCGAUGUCGGAUUAGCUAGUUGGUGGGGUAAAGGCUUACCAAGGCGACGAUCCGUAGCUGGUCUGAGAGGACGACCAGCCACACUGGGACUGAGACACGGCCCAGACUCCUACGGGAGGCAGCAGUGGGGAAUUUUGGACAAUGGGGGCAACCCUGAUCCAGCCAUGCCGCGUGCGGGAAGAAGGCCUUCGGGUUGUAAACCGCUUUUGUUCGGGAAGAAAUCCUCUGGGCUAAUACCCCGGGGGGAUGACGGUACCGGAAGAAUAAGCACCGGCUAACUACGU